AGGGUGUGUUUGUUUAU
rnacentral:miRNA from 1 species